rnacentral:rRNA from 1 species
GGGGAUAUCCUUCCGAAAGGAGGGGCAAUACCGAAUAUUGUCCGGAGCCAUGAAGGGUUCCGGGGAAAGGGAGGCCUCUGAUACAAGCUUUCGCCUUAAGAUGAGCCCAUGGCCCAUCAGCUAGUUGGUAGGGUAAAGGCCUACCAAGGCUACGACGGGUCGCUGGUCUGAGAGGACGACCAGCCACACUGGCACUGAGAUACGGGCCAGACUCCUACGGGAGGCAGCAGUGAGGAAUAUUGCGCAAUGGGGGAAACCCUGACGCAGCAACGCCGCGUGUGGGAAGAAGGCCUUCGGGUCGUAAACCACUUUUGCACGGGACGAAAAAGGGAUAUCGAACAAAUAUCCCCGAUGACGGUACCGUGAGAAUAAGCCACGGCUAACUCUGUGCCAGCAGCCGCGGUAAGACAGAGGUGGCAAGCGUUGUUCGGAAUUACUGGGCGUAAAGAGUCUGUAGGUGGUUUGUCAAGUCUUUGGUGAAAGGCCGUAGCUUAACUAUGGGAAUGCCAAAGAGACUGGC